rnacentral:rRNA from 1 species
CUCUCUGAAGUUAAGCAUAUCCAUGAGCGGAGGAAAAGAUACUAACAAGGAUUCCCUUAGUAACUGCGAGUGAAGAGGGAAGAGCUCAAAUUUAAAAUCUGGCAGUCUUUUGCGCUGUUCGAGAUGUGAUCUAGAGAAGUGUUUUCUGCACUGGCCCAUGCCACAAGUCUCUUGGAAUGGAGCAUCAUAGAGGGUGACAAUCCUGUCUUUGACAUGGACUCCCACGGGUUUUUGUGUAGCACUCUCCAAGAGUCGAGUUGUUUGGGAAUGCAGCUCAAAAUGGGUGGUAAAUUCCAUCUAAAGCUAAAUAUUGGCGAGAGACCGAUAGCGAACAAGUACCGUGAGGGAAAGAUGAAAAGAACUUUGAAAAGAGAGUUAAACAGUACGUGAAAUUGUUGAAAGGGAAACAAUUCAAGUCAGUUGCAUUGUAUGGUAAUCAACCUCUGCAAGUUUGCAAGGCUUACUUUCCAGUCGAUGGGUCAGCAUCAAUAUUGACUGUCAGAUAAAGGCUUGGGGAAUGUGGCAUCCUCGGAUGUGUUAUAGCCUCUUGUCACAUGCGAUGGUAGAGAUUGAGGAAAUCAGCAUGCCACUUUUUAGUGGUCGAGGCUCUGCUGCUAAGGUAACAUGCUGUAGGAUGCUGGCAUAAUGGCUAGAAAUGUCCCGUCGUGAAACACGG